rnacentral:lncRNA from 1 species
ACGAAUCAAACAUCAUUAAUCAUCGAGUUACAUUGUUGAUUUUUUGUAAUUUUCCUUUACAUAUUUAAUCUUUGUUAAAUACAACAUUUUCUUCUUUUAUGUUUCCAACCAUUCGAAAUCGUUGACUAUAAUUUUUCUAAAAGAUAAUUUAAAAAGUAAUAUAAUUUAUUUAAAUUUUAUUUCAUUUUAAAAUGUAAUUGAUGUAAAAUCUAAAAUCAUAAUUAGUUUAAGAACAUAACAUAUACGUAAGUUGUUC